GGAUUCAAGGUAGGUAUUAAAAUUAGGGUUAGGGCUUCAAAGUGGGUUCACACUUCAAAGUAGGGUUAGGGUUUCCAAGUAGGGUUUCAAAGAAGGCUUCGAGUUUCAAAGAGUUUAAAAACAGGGUUAGGGUUUCAAAUCAGGAUUUCAUAUUAAGGUUAGGGUUUCAAACUAGGUUUUCAAGCUAGGGUUCAGGUUUUAAAGUAGGGUUAGGGUGUCAUAUUAGGGUUAGGGUUUCAAGGUAGGUAUUAAAAUUAGGGUUACGGCUUCAAAGUGGGUUCACACUUCAAAGUAGGGGUAGGGUUUCCAAGUAGGGUUUCAAAGAAGGCUUCGAGUUUCAAAGAGUUUAAAAACAGGGUUAGGGUUUCAAAUCAGGAUUUCAUAUUAGGGUUAGGGUUUCAAACUAGGUUUUCAAGCUAGGGUUCAGGUUUUAAAGUAGGGUUAGGGUGUCAUAUUAGGGUUAGGGUUUCAAGGUAGGUAUUAAAAUUAGAGUUAGGGCUUCAAAGUGGGUUCACACUUCAAAGUAGGGUUAGGGUUUCCAAGUAGGGUUUCAAAGAAGGCUUCAAGUUUCAAAGAGUUUAA